AACUUUCCCAGAAGUGGCGCUGAACUACGGAUCUCUAGUUUCUGAGGCAAGUGCGCUAACCACUGAGCUACGGCUGCUUAUUUAAGAACAUUACCAGUUAUUCUAUAAUAUUGUAAUUUGUUUAUAAGAACUUCAUGAUCUAUGAAUACAGAAAUAAGAAUACAGACAAAGACAAAUAAUAUAGAAAGAGUGACAAAGAAUACAGAAAGAUUUGAACUUUGAAGAACUAUCAAAAAACAUCUGAAGUAUUGUUUUUAUUCGAAAUCGUCUUUUUUUAUGAUGUACAAUUGAAUGCAAAUGUAGUCAAAACUUUCAAUAAAUUGAUUGCAAUUGACUAUUUAUCAAUGUAAUUUUUGAAUAUUACAUUGUAUAGUGUGUUUUAGUUGUAUAACCAGUUUUAAAUUGUAAAAAAUGACACAUUUUUAUAAUACAAGGUAAAUAAUACAUUUGUAUACUCUAAGGGUUAUGGAGCAAUUUUCUUUUUAUAA